rnacentral:lncRNA from 1 species
GCGGGAGCUUGUCGUCCUCCGGUGGGGCUGUGGCAAGGGCCAGCCCCUCACGCGCGGCGACGGCUCUCACGAGCAUCUGAGGAACCCGCUGCCGCUUGCCACACCUCAUGAGUGCAGUUCAGAAAAACCCAAGUUUAUCUGCCAAAUUCAGGAUGCAACCCUGACUGUUCCGGGCUUUUCUUUCUGCCUUUCCCUAAUCUGAUCGGGGCGUGCUCUCUUAAAGGGGAAGUGGUGCGUUUUGACUGGCCAGGGCCUCAGCCAGGAGCCAGGAAACAUCAACCACAAGUCGCCUUGCCCAGCGUGUCACUGGCUCAGCCUCCUUAUCCAAACGGCCAGGCCGUCUCCCCGGGAUGUGGCACAGCCACACCCUACUCAAGACUACUUCCUGUUUGCCACUGCCAACUGCCACUCCAAGGAGAACAGAAAUGGUUCCGUUAUUAGUGGCUGCUACGGGACCACGGCAGCCUGUGGGGUGAGUGGUUCUAAGUGACACUGUGGGCUUAGCAGGGAUCCAAGAGUUUGCACCUUCUCUUU